AGCGGUGAAAUGCUUAGAUAUCACGANGAACUCCGAUUGCGAAGGCAGCUUGCUGGACUGUAACUGACGNUGAGGCACGAAAGCGUGGGGAUCAAACAGGAUUAGAUACCCUGGUANNCCACGCCGUAAACGAUGAAUGCUAGCUGUUAGCGAUAUACUGUUAGCGGCACAGAGAAAUCGUUAAGCAUUCCACCUGGGGAGUACGCCGGCAACGGUGAAACUCAAAGGAAUUGACGGGGGCCCGCACAAGCGGAGGAACAUGUGGUUUAAUUCGAUGAUACGCGAGGAACCUUACCUGGGCUUAAAUUGCAGUGGAAUAACGUGGAAACAUGUUAGCCUUCGGGCCGCUGUGAAGGUGCUGCAUGGUUGUCGUCAGCUCGUGCCGUGAGGUGUCGGCUUAAGUGCCAUAACGAGCGCAACCCUCAUCGAUAGUUACUAACAGGUUAAGCUGAGGACUCUAUCGAGACUGCCGACGUAAGUCGUGAGGAAGGUGGGGAUGACGUCAAAUCAGCACGGCCCUUACGUCCAGGGCUACACACGUGUUACAAUGGGGGGUACAAAGGGCAGCUACCUGGCGACAGGAUGCUAAUCUCAAAAACCUCUCUCAGUUCGGAUUGGAGUCUGCAACCCGACUCCAUGAAGCUGGAUUCGCUAGUAAUCGCGCAUCAGCCACGGCGCGGUGAAUACGUUCCCGGGCCUUGUACACACCGCCCGUCAAGCCAUGGGAGCCGGGGGGACCUGAAGUAUGCAACCGUAAGGAGCGUCCUAGGGUAAAACUGGUGACUGGGGCU
rnacentral:rRNA from 1 species